rnacentral:rRNA from 1 species
UACGUAGGGGGCUAGCGUUGUUUGGAAUCAUUGGGCGUAAAGAGUGUGUAGGCGGUCCGGUAAGUCCGCUGUGAAAGUCGGGGGCUCAACCCUUGAAUGCUGGUGGAUACUGUCGGGCUAGAGUGCGGAAGAGGCGAGUGGAAUUCCUGGUGUAGCGGUGAAAUGCGCAGAUAUCAGGAGGAACACCUAUUGCGAAGGCAGCUCGCUGGGACGUAACUGACGCUGAGACGCGAAAGCGUGGGGAGCAAACGGG